UACGUAGGGUGCGAGCGUUAAUCGGAAUUACUGGGCGUAAAGAGCGCGUAGGCGGGUUCUUAAGUGAGAGGUGAAAGGUUCAGGGCUCAACCCGAACAGUGCCUUUCAUACUGGGAGCCUUGAGUGUGGGAGAGGCGAGUGGAAUUUCUGGUGUAGCGGUGAAAUGCGUAGAUAUCAGAAGGAACACCCAUGGCGAAGGCAGCUCGCUGGCCUACAACUGACGCUGAGGCGCGAAAGCGUGGGGAGCAAACAGG
rnacentral:rRNA from 1 species